GAUCACUGACGAUCGAGUAGAAAUUUAAGUGAUCUCUCGUAUGGUCAUGCUCAGUACUAGUUAUUCUCUAACAACUAUCUGCACUCGUCACUCAGUGUCUCUACACUGUAGACUAGAGAUCCAUUGAUAUGAUCGUGACAUUGUCAUUAAGACACCAUGAUUAUCAAUCCAAUUUUGACUUCAAUAAAAAUUAAAAAUUUGUAGAAGGUAGCG
rnacentral:lncRNA from 1 species